rnacentral:rRNA from 1 species
AACGAACGCUGGCGGCAGGCUUAAUACAUACAAGUCGAACGGGCGCAGCAAUGCGUCAGUGGCAGACGGGUGAGUAACACGUGGGAACCUUCCUCGUUGAACGGAACAACUCAGGGAAACUUGAGCUAAUACCGUAUAAGUCCGAGAGGAGAAAGAUUUAUCGCAAUGAGACGGGCCCGCGUCGGAUUAGGUAGUUGGUGAGGUAACGGCUCACCAAGCCAACGAUCCGUAGCUGANCUGAGAGGAUGAUCAGCCACACUGGGACUGAGACACGGCCCAGACUCCUACGGGAGGCAGCAGUAGGGAAUCUUGGACAAUGGGCGCAAGCCUGAUCCAGCCAUGCCGCGUGAGUGAAAGAAGG